rnacentral:rRNA from 1 species
UACGAAGGGGGCUAGCGUUGCUCGGAAUCACUGGGCGUAAAGCGCACGUAGGCGGAUCUUUAAGUCAGGGGUGAAAUCCUGGAGCUCAACUCCAGAACUGCCUUUGAUACUGGGGAUCUCGAGUCCGGAAGAGGUGAGUGGAACUCCGAGUGUAGAGGUGAAAUUCGUAGAUAUUCGGAAGAACACCAGUGGCGAAGGCGGCUCACUGGUCCGGUACUGACGCUGAGGUGCGAAAGCGUGGGGAGCAAACGGGG